CAGUGGGACAGGAAGUGAUAGGCACGUGACAGGAAGACAUUUUUUUUCUCGCUGUUAGGGGGGUGCUGACAGGAGAGUUUGCAGCCCUUGGGGAAUCAGCUGUCGUUCCCCAACAUUCCCCCACCUGGAGCUGGAGAGAAGAGGGAUCAGAUGGGAGGGUGGCCACUCCCCACCACUGUGUGCACGAACUCCCCAGCAGACCCUUCCGAGGGCUCAGCUCACCGUGGCCCCUACAAUUGAGAAAGGAUCCUUCCCUGCUCAAGCAUCCCAGGGGUCAGGGAUCACGCCCUGCCUGCAUUAUCACCCAACUCUGAAGACCAUUCAUCUAAAAACCUCAGAGCUUUUGAACAGAGUCACCUGCACAUCAGAGUCCUUACUGGAUAAUUCCCACCGACCCAGGCUCAAGUUCUGCCCUGUGAAGCAGGAGAAAAAGGGUGACAAGCCUCAGCCCUGCCUGUGCCCAGGGUGGUGAGGUGAUCAGGAACAGAACUAAGAGUUGGGUAAAGAGCAACGGGAAACGAUUCUGUUAGAGAACACGCACACAUACAUGUGCACACGGUCCAAGGCAGAAGGUAGCAGUCUGGCUGCAGACUCGGAAGCUGGCACCAGGUUUCAAGAAGUCUUUUUGUUUGGUUUGGUUUUGGAGAGAAAAGAGUUCCCAGCAGUGGAUCUGCCACGGCUGGAGCGCCGGGGACACGCGCGGCAGACGGCCGCAGAAGCCUCAAGGCUGUGCGCGCGAAGACGCGGCGUAGACGGGGCUCCCCAACCCCGGACACGCCAGCGGCAGGCUGGGAAGUCCAGGAAACCCCAGGUCCCCGUCGAAACCGCCCGGCACCCAGUCCCCGCCCGCAGCUCCGGUCCAGAGCGGGCCACCGGGCCCCGAUGUGUGAGAGAGCCGAGGGUUCCCCAGAGUUCCAGGGGAGAGAUUACCUCGAAGCGAGGGGAUGCAACCCGUCUGCGCGUCUGCGGGCACAGGGUCUGCCCCAAGCAGGCGCCGCGGCGCUGCCGGGCGUCAGGGGUUUGGGGUCCUCGGAGAGGAGCCGUCCGGGGGGCCGCAGCUCAGGGGCGCGGGGCGACGGCAGCGGCCAUGGCGAGUCACGUGCAGAGGCUGAAACUUUACCCGGAGCCCUAGACUGGGGGGGCGGAGGGUAUGGAGCUGGGGUGGGAGGGAGGCCCCCCUGCCGCAGGUCCGCC
ensembl:lncRNA